rnacentral:rRNA from 1 species
AGGGCACCACCAGGAGUGGAGCCUGCGGCUUAAUUUGACUCAACACGGGGAAACUCACCAGGUCCAGACACAAUAAGGAUUGACAGAUUGAGAGCUCUUUCUUGAUUUUGUGGGUGGUGGUGCAUGGCCGUUCUUAGUUGGUGGAGUGAUUUGUCUGCUUAAUUGCGAUAACGAACGAGACCUUGACUCUUAAAUAGGGUGUAUAACAAUUUGUUGUAUGAUUCUUCUUAAGAGGACUAUCAGGAAAAACCUGAUGGAGGUUCGAGGCA